CUUUUUCAGAGAAUGUGAAUGCCAUAAGUGCUAAAAUAGGAAAGUGAUUUAAUUUAAGGUUACAUCAGAUCUCACUUCAGAUCUCACUACAGACACAUCCUCUAAUUUCAAAGUAGGCUGCCAUGCCAGCUCCAAAGACAGUUAAAACAACCAAGAAAAUGAGCGGCCAAACAGAGACAUGAACAGGUUCUCAACACAGGACAGAGAUGCUACCCACGAUUUACUGAGAACAAUGCACAAUGCAAAAGCUGGAAAAUUAAGCCUGAUUCCACAGCUACUACAAAUGAAAGUGC